rnacentral:lncRNA from 1 species
CAUAAUAACCUCUGAAUCCUUUUCGUCAUUAAAAUACGACUGAUAAGUAUAUAGAUAUUCAAUAUGAAGGGGGAAAAAUAACCGUGACUGAAAUCUAAAUCUUAGAUUUAUUUAAAAAAAAAUACACACUUGACCAUGCAGAUGUAAGAAAUGAUACUUCAAGCAAUGAAACAACUAACUAUGGGUCACCGUACGGCCUUCAACAACAGGCAAAGCACGCACCGCGUUGUCGGCUAUAAAAGGCCCCGAAAUGACAAUGUAAAACAAUCAGUCAAAAAAGAAAAUUAACAAAGUCCGUAUCAUCGUAUGCAUAACUUAGUUGCUCACCAGAGGAACGCUACGCAAGCGUUUAAAUCCGCGUUCCAUAAGUUUGAAGUACGUCGAAAUGCAAAGGUAUAGGCUUAGUGAACGCUUUUACUUCAUGAAAAUUUUAAUGGAACAUAAAAAAUUUCAUUCAGCUCAAGCGUUUGUCAAGCGUAUACCUGUAAACUGCACGCACAUAAUAUAUACGCUAUACGAGCGUUGAAAACGCUACAGAUAAGUUUGAGACACAUACAAAAAUACGCGUCGCCUUAAAGCUUUCAUUCAGGAGAAGAAGUCCGAUACGGGUGAAAUUCUUCAAACCUACAGAAGAUAUUACACCCUCUCCAACCAUGCAACAUGGGACUAGACAUAGAAGUACAGGAACUACUCCCAUUAGUUUGAGCUGUACAAGAUCUACAAAAAUAUCCCGCCUGCCUCAAAGGUGCAUAGGAUCGACCAUGUUCCAGCACUAAUGAUACAAGUACCAACCAGAGUUACAAUGCCGUGGUUGUAAGUCUUUAAAGGCAUGCACCGAGCGGCCUCCAAAAAUGAAAAAAAAAACACUAUUUAGUCGGCUAUUAAAUGCCCCGACCAUUAAGAUUUAAAAACAAAAAUCAAACAAAACUAAACAGCCUUAUUGAUAACAAAAUAAUUUACGAAAAAAACUUGACCGACAUGAAUUAUGAACAACAACCACUUCACUACAUGUUCCUGGCUUUAUAAUGGACGUUGGCACAUAAACAAUGUGGUGGCCAUAAAUCUAACCCUCCCAAAUGAACCAAACCUUAAGGACAACACAUCGCAAGAAAAAAAUGUAAAAUAUCAGUUGCAAUUCGCGUCCCUAAAAAUAUGGGUACGGUGCACAAUAAUCACUUACAUAAAAAACAAUAGACACAAAUCACUGAAAUAAUCGCACUUACCGAAAGCUUGUGAACAUUUAGACGAAUCAGUGGACAUAGACGGACUGGUAAACAUGUAAACAGACGGGCGAAUGUGACAGACGUAUUGACAAACAUUCACAUAUAGACAGACCUGCAGUUGGGAAUGUAGAAAGACUAGGAGAAACGCUUAGGUACGCUUUACGCACACCCAAUACACGCUUUAAGCUCGUUGUGCACACGAUACAGAUAUGAUUGACAGGUUGAAUGCAUCAAAAUUACUAGCGUAUUGGUAGCGUGCAUGAUUUUUUUUUUACCACGACCGACGUACGUCGGAUCUAUACGUUGAUGUGUGAAGCCGGUAUUACAUUAAAUAAACAGGC